rfam:Synechococcus sp. JA-2-3B'a(2-13), complete genome.
CCUGGUGCCUAUGGCGAUGUGGAACCACGCCGACCCAUCCCGAACUCGGACGUGAAACGCAUCAGCGGCGAACCUACUGGCAGGGCGACCUGCUGGCAACCUAGCUCGGUGCCAGAC